rnacentral:rRNA from 1 species
AUCGAACGCUGGCGGCAGGCCUAACACAUGCAAGUCGAGCGAGCGGCGGACGGGUGAGUAAUGCCUGGGAAACUGCCUGAUGGAGGGGGGUAACUACUGGAAACGGUAGCUAAUAACGCAUAUCAUCUGAUGUUCCGAGACUGUAUUAGCUAGUGGGUGGGGUAACGGCACACCUAGGCGACGAUCCCUAGCUGGUCUGAGAGGAUGACCAGCCACACUGGAACUGAGACACGGUCCAGACUCCUACGGGAGGCAGCAGUGGGGAAUAUUGCACAAUGGGCGCAAGCCUGAUGCAGCCAUGCCGCGUGUGUGAAGAAGGCCUUCGGGUUGUAAAGCACUUUCAGCGGGGAGGCGUUACCCGCAGAAGAAGCACCGGCUAACUCCGUGCCAGCAGCCGCGGUAAUUC